GGGGGGCAAGGCUAAACAAAUCAAAAUUGAGGGGGAAGAAGAGAAGCUUGUUUUUUGAUUUAAGCGGGGGGAAGGGUGAAGUAAAGCCUAGAAAUUCUCCCUGGGUAGUGGGGGACAACGGUUCGAAAAAGAACGCUAAUACCGCAUACGUCCUACGGGAGAAAAGCAGGGGACCUUCGGGCCUUGCGCUAUCAGAUGAGCCUAGGUCGGAUUAGCUAGUUGGUGAGGUAAUGGCUCACCAAGGCGACGAUCCGUAACUGGUCUGAGAGGAUGAUCAGUCACACUGGAACUGAGACACGGUCCAGACUCCUACGGGAGGCAGCAGUGGGGAAUAUUGGACAAUGGGCGAAAGCCUGAUCCAGCCAUGCCGCGUGUGUGAAGAAGGUCUUCGGAUUGUAAAGCACUUUAAGUUGGGAGGAAGGGUUGUAGAUUAAUACUCUGCAAUUUUGACGUUACCGACAGAAUAAGCACCGGCUAACUCUGUGCCAGCAGCCGCGGUAAUACAGAGGGUGCAAGCGUUAAUCGGAAUUACUGGGCGUAAAGCGCGCGUAGGUGGUUUGUUAAGUUGGAUGUGAAAGCCCCGGGCUCAACCUGGGAACUGCAUUCAAAACUGACAAGCUAGAGUAUGGUAGAGGGUGGUGGAAUUUCCUGUGUAGCGGUGAAAUGCGUAGAUAUAGGAAGGAACACCAGUGGCGAAGGCGACCACCUGGACUGAUACUGACACUGAGGUGCGAAAGCGUGGGGAGCUUUCUAAGUUAGAUACCCUGGUAGUCCACGCCGUAAACGAUGUCAUUAUAGCCGUUGGGAGCCUCGAGCUAUUAGUGGCGCAGGUAACGCAAUUAAUUGAGAAGCAAAGGGAACGGG
rnacentral:rRNA from 1 species